CCUACGGGUGGCAGCAGUAGGGAAUCUUCCACAAUGGGCGCAAGCCUGAUGGAGCAACACCGCGUGAGUGAAGAAGGGUUUCGGCUCGGAAAGCUCUGUUGUUGGGGAAGGAAGUGCGUGAGAGUAACUGUUCACGCAGUGACGGUAUACAACCAGAAAGUUACGGCUAAAGACGUGCCGGUAGCGGCGGUAAUAAGUAGGUGGCAAGCGGUAGCCGUAUUUGUUGGGGGUAAAGCGAGCGCAGGCGGGUGCUUAGGGCUGAUGUGAAAGCCUUCGGCUUAACCGAAGAAGUGCAUCGGAAACCGGGCGACUUGAGUGCAGAAGAGGACAGUGGAAUUCCAUGUGUAGCGGUGGAAUGCGUAGAUAUAUGGAAGAACACCAGUGGCGAAGGCGGCUGGCUGGUCUGCAACUGACGCUGAGGCUCGAAAGCAUGGGUAGCGAACAGGAUUAGAUACCCCAGUAGUC
rnacentral:rRNA from 1 species